CCUCACCUCUUCACUCUCUCUCACCUCCUCCUGCCUUCCUCACCUCUCUCCUCGCCUCGCCUCUAGCAUCAUCGUCACUUAACAGGAACCAAGAGAAUACGUUGGAUUUAUUUACAGAGAAGAGCGUCUUGCGUGUUCCUUAGGCCUACAAUUCUACUAUAUAACCUGUGGGAAUUCGUCUCUAUGAAGGUACCAUCGGCAGCCUUCAUAGUUGUGUAUGCUCCGGGAGUGUGGAUAAUGCAUGAAACCCUGACAACAGUGUUACGGCUAACGUCUGCAGGAAGGUUGGCAAGAUAACUUAACCCGGAUGUAUAUUUUGAGUUCUCUAUAACACGAGCGAAGAUUCAGAGAGGUGGCCGCCCAGGAGCUCGACCAAAAGAUACAACAAUCGACAAGAGACGAAAAAGAUCACCGAAUUCUUCAUUUUACGAAGUGACUCGACGUUGGUUUUUAUCUGUUGGAAAAUAUAAUUCACAGAGGAAGGAAGGGAUCACCAGAAAAAUUGAUACCCCAGAUUAUGUUACCAAGAGAUUAACCAUUCACACGCAAAACUGUCCAAACGUAACGUAACCUAACCAAACUAAAUCUAACCUGACCCAACUUAACCCAACCAAACCAAACCUGACCUAACUUAACUAUACUAAACUAUAUAUAACCUACUCUAACGAAACCUAACCUAACCUAAUCGAACCUAACGUUACCGUACGUAACCUAACCGUACCUAAAAUAACCU